GGUGGAGGCGAUGAGUGGCACUAAUCAGCCGGGCUGCAGUGGCAUCGCACUUCUCGUCCGAACCUAACCUGAGGACACCACAGCACAGGGGCCAUCUGACCCACA